UCUGCACACAGUGACAGUUUUCCCUCUUCUCUUCCUAUUUGGAUGCCUUUUAUUUCUUUGGUUUGUCUGAUUGCUGUGGCCUGGACUUCCAGUACUAUGUUGAAUAACAGUGGUGGGAGUGGGCAUCCUUGUCUUGUUCCAGAUUUUAGUGGAAAAGCUUUCAGCUUUUCUCCAUUGAGUGUUAUAUAUGCUGUGGGUUUGUCAUAAAUGGCUUUGAUUAUGUUAUGGUAUGUUCCCUCUAUACCCACUCUGGUAAGAGUUUUUAUCAUGAAUGGAUGUUGGACUUUGUCAAAUGUUUUCUCUGCAUCUAUUGAGACAAUCGUGUGGUUUUUGACUUUUGUUAAUGUGGUAUGUGACGUUGAUUUACGUAUGUUGAACCAUCCUUGUGCACCUGGGAUGAAUCCCACCUGGUCGUGGUGUAUGAUAUUUUUUAUAUGUGUUACAUUCAGAUGGCUAAAAUUUUGUUGAUAAUUUUUGCGUCUAUAUUCAUCAGAGAUAUUGGCCUAUAGUUUUCUUUUUUGGUGGUAUCUUUGUCUGACUCUUAAACAGGGAACCAAGACCCUGUGAAUUUAUGUCACAUAUAACUGAGAGGCAGUUUAGCUGGAAGGGCCAUGGCUGAGAAGUGGAGAGGGGAAAACUUGGGAGUCCCCCAUCUUUAACUGCUCUGGUUCUGAUGCUGAGUGGGUUUUGGAGUUUGCCUCUCAUCCAGCAAUGUUGUGAUCAUUUUGGAGCAAAACCAGGUAGAUAGUUCUAUGCCAGGGCAGAAGCAGUGGCAGCUUUCCUUGAGUCUGGGUGUUGGCAGCAGGAGAAUUUUAUCACACACCCCAGAAAUAUGUAUAUUACAACCCCAGCUCAUUUCCCUUGUUUUGAGAUUAAAUUCACCACCGCCAUCACCACCACCACUUUUCAUUCAUAUUCGUCGGACAGAUAUCUAACAAAUCCCCAUUGGUGUGGCUAGCCUUAGGCUGCAUGGUCUGGCAAAUAUAUCGCCUUGUGUAUGUGUGUUGGGAAUGAGGAGGUCUGAGGGCCGAACAGAUGAAGAUUGGGGAAGGGUCAGGGUUGAAGAAGCAAAGGAAGUAUCUUAGGGCAUUCUAGCUGGUACAGGCGAGAAAAGGAACCUGGCCAGCAAAUGGCACCAGCAGCAAGUCACAUCAUGCUCUUAAUGAGGGGAGUGCAGCACCCACCGGGGGUCUGGAGAAGGGAAAGAGCCCUGUUGCUCAGAAAUGAGUAAAGUGGUCUGGUAGUGUCUAGGUUGGGCCUUGAAGGUGGAGAUGGGGGUGGGAAGGAAUGGGAGCAGCCCUGAUGGUGAAGGGAAUGUUGGCUGCUGAAUGCACCACCCAGCUACCCCCUUGUGGGACUAAAGCCCCAGUUCCCCAGCCAUGGCAAUGUUGAUGCGUGACAGCUGAGUCUCACUCUCCACCCCAUGAUUACUCUCCGCUGAGGAGAGAUGCCUUGUUGAGUGCUUGUUUCAGGGAGCAGCCCACAUCCAACUGCUGGUUGAUGCAGAGUUUAAAAAGCCUGGUGCCUCUGUCCUCAUUUGGGACAACUCUGCAGGGCCAUUCCAGUUCCCUGAUCUCCAGACUGUCUGAGGUCUUUGUAGUGGCAUCACAGCCUUCUAGUUGGUACUGCUUGCUUUGCCCCCUCACAGGUGUCGAUCUUGACAACAUCUGCAGUUUGGGUAUGUACAUGGUCAGGAUGCACCUUCUCAGGUGGAUGCUCUGCCAUUGCUGUCUCCCAGGAGGUGUACAUGGUGCUGUCUUGGCUAAGAUGUUGGUAGGACUGUUUCUUCUGAAGGAUCUAGGGGAGAACACCCCUUUGCUUUUUUUUUUUUGUUCUGCAUUUCCUAGAUUCUAGAGGCCACUUGGAUUUCUUGGCUUUUGGCCCAAUCCUCUCUCAUCAGGGCCAUUGAGGUUGGGCUAAGUCCUUACACUGCCAUCUCUCUGGUUCUUAUCUGAUCUCCUGUCUCUCUCCUCUGUUGAUAAGGAACCAUGGGAUUACAUUAGUCUCUCCCAAAUAAUUCAGGAUAAUUGCCCUAUUUUAAGGUCAGCUGGUAAACCAUCUUAAUUACCAUCUGUAAACUUAAUUACCGUUUGCCCUGUAACCUAACACAGAUUUGGGGAUUAGGAUUUGGAUGUCUUUGAGGUGAACAUUGUUCUGCCUACCCAAGGGGGCCUGUGUUCUUUUAGUUUUCACUACACAGGGAAAGGGAAAAGCAGGGAUUUAAGCCCCUGGAGCUGUUAUUCCAGCUUUAGCCAUUAGGACUUGACAUUGGCAAAGCUAUGUACUGUGUUUUGUUUAUUAGAUUUUCCAAAGUUUCAAACAACACCUGUUGGCUGAGAGUUCCAAAAUCCUGAUCUUCAAAACAGGCUUUCUUCCUGAGUUUCAUCCCCUUGAUUCUGUUCCCUACUGGAUACCUCUUCUUGAAUGUCCCAAGUCACUUUUAUGUGCUGGAAGUGUAAAUGGUAUUGAAGUUUUCUCUUCAUGACCCCCUGCAGAACUCAAGUUCUUGUGGAACUGCUUUUCUUCUUAAAGAUUCUGGAGCCCACCUCUUUUCUCCUUAUUCACUCACCCCACUGUUGACCAUCUUUUCUUGGUUUGCAUUAUUAACUAUAGCCUCUCACUAGUCCUGCCUCUGUCAAAUACUCAUUCCUUCCACCAAACUGUUGCAGGCACUGCCAGAUCAAUUGUAUAUAAAUACAGAGCUCUAAUUGUAAAUUUUAAAUAUUCAGUGUUUCCCUGCUUUACAUAAAAUCAGUCUAACUCAGCAACCCAUACCAGUGUCAUCUGUCUUCAAACUUUUUUCAUGUUUAUUUUCCACCACUCUCUUUAGUUCCAUCCAGGUGAUGCUAUCAUACUUUGUCAUCUCUCUGUAACUACUCACAUAUAUGUCUGCCUUCCUUCGUAGAUGAGGAGCAACUCAUCUCAAUAUCCUCCUUAUGUAGAGUGCUCCACGGAUGCUUAGCAAAUAUUCAGUAAAACUAAAUUUUCCCUUUUGCUUGCAUUUUAUCCAUCCUCCUGAAGCAACUCAUAGUAUAGCAGCAGCAGUGAUUACCAAGCAGGUGACAAGACCCAACUGCUGUUUCCAGCCAGAGCCUCUAAGCUACUUGGCCAUCUCCAGCCGUAUCAGAUUUCUGACCCUUUGUUGUUCUGCGCACUGGCCUCAAUAUGACCAUUAUUCCAACUAAGGUCAAGUCAGAGCCUUCUAGUUUUCAGAAGCAACUGCUCAGAAAGGAGUCUCAUUCGAGUAUCUCUUCCAGCCACUGCUAGAGUUUACCCUUUUGAAAAUUUCUAUUUUUAAAAUUUUGUUUUGUUUAUUGUUACAGAUGUAUUUAUUUGUUACCACAUUAUCUACUACUCUGUGUUGCAAUGAGUUAUCCCUUAAUGCAGAACUUGUUGUCUGGCUACUAGAACAACUUUCAGCUUCUGACUCUUUUAGGCUUUUACUUUUAAAGUUAGAAUAUAGUUGCUUAUAAUGUUAGUUUCAGGUGUACUGCAAAGUGAAUUCAGUUAUACAUACGCAUAUCCAUUCUUUUUUCAUAUUCUUUUGGCAUAUAGGUGGUUACACAGUAUUGAGUAGAUUUCCCUCUGCUACACAGUAGGUCCUUGUUACUUAUCUAUUUUAUAUAGAGUAGUGUAUUGUAUGUUGAUUCCAACCUCCCACUUUAUCCCUCCCCACGAGAAAUUGCUUUUACUAAUACUCUGCUGUUCUGAUUUGUAAGAAAAAUAAUUUUUUGUGUGUGUGUUUAAUCUUACAUAUAUAAGUAAAAAAAUUUUCUGACCCAGCUUCCUCGGUAUCAUGUGAAUAAACUUUGGUCAGUGGCCAAAGUCAGGUGGAUCCAGGGCUUGGUGAGGAUGAAAGUGCCUGAACUCAGUUCACCUUCUAAAUCACACCAUCUCCUACUUAUGUGUAGUUACAGUAACAAUUUUAAGAUGGCAUGACGGCUUAUUAUUUCUGAAAUUGUUUUCUUAUUUUUAUUUUUUGGUUUUUUUUUUUUUUUUUUUUUUUUUUUUUNNNNNNNNNNNNNNNNNNNNNNNNNNNNNNNNNNNNNNNNNNNNCGCAGAAUCCUUAACCCACUGAGUGAGGGAUCAAACCCUCAACCUCAUGGUUCCUAGUCAGAUUCGUUUCUGCUGCGCCACAAUGGGAACUCCAGAAACUGUUUUCUUAUUGAAUUAACUCAUUUGGCCUCAUCUUUGUAGGGGUCAUAAGCAGCUGUAAGUAAUAUUAACUAUUCUCUGAGAAUGCCACAAUGUGGAAACUUUGUGAUAAUUAGUUUCCAUUUCUUUCUAUUACAAUUAAAAAAAAAAUCUCAUGUCUUCUGUCUCACAUGUACUUUAUAGAUGCUCUUUGAGCUAAUUAUGGUUACAAAAUGUGCCUUAACAUUUGCAUUACUUGUGACCCAUCUUCAAAUAUAUUGUGCUUUUGCAGAUUUUUGUGUGGUCUUAAAAUGGUUCUGUGAAUAUGCAGAUUGUGGCAUAUGUGCACUUAAAUUUAUGUGACAACCUCUGACCACAGAGAUUUAUAAAUAAAUGCAACAGAAAUAGCAUAUUGAGUGGAGGGGCAAGUGGUGAGGAAGGACAGGUGUCCCUUUUCUUCCCAAGCAGAGCGGGUAUAUGUUUCAAUUAUGCUCUUAUAUUCUCUGGGCUCGUGGUCAAGGCAGAGACUGUGUCUGAGAAAAGAUCAAUGGCAGAGCAGUGAAGGUUAGAGCAGGAGAGAAUGACAUCUCCAAGACAAAGUGCUGAAAGCCAGCAUAGUGCGUGUCUGCCACCACCCAGCAUCACUCAUGUGCCGCUUUUAGUCCACACCAACAAACAGCAUAGAAAAGGUCAUUAAAACAAAACAACCACACUAAACAGCCAACAACUCUCCCACCAGGAAGUCUUGGACAGAAACACUGGCUGUAAAUCUUAGACUUUGAAGAGCAAGAGGCAGAGUUUGCAGCUCUCCUUGCUGCCCCACAUUUCUCUUCUCUCUGAAAAAUAUUGGGCCUAACUGUUGUUUUACAAUGUGCUCCGGGUUACAUAGCAUUCUGGGCACUCUGCCUCCACCCUGCGCUCCAUUAAAGAACCUGUGUCAUGGUUUGUUGUGUGCUGGACAAGAGCAAAGUUUCACAUUGGUAGCAGCAUACUAGAUCUCUGGAAAAAAAAAAAAAA
rnacentral:lncRNA from 1 species